rnacentral:misc_RNA from 1 species
UCUCUCUCUCUCUCUCUCUCAUGUGUGUUGCUACUUCAUGUAUUUUUACAUUGCUGUUGGUAUUUGGCUUCGUUGAAUGUUAGUCUUCUGGUUUUCGUCAUUCACACUCUUAGCUCCCGCACCCCUCUUCACGCAAUUUUCUUCAUUAUUUCUGUGCAAAGAGGUCUUAGGUGUUAGCUUGUUGCAAAUAUUUCUUCUACUUCCUGAGACUGUGUGUUCUCCAUAUCAUUAUCUCUGCUUCACUUUGCUUGAUCUUGCAGCUCUGGCUUGAUUUUGUGGUAAUUUUAAUGGCUUGUGGAUUUUAGUUGCUAGUUUUUUUCUCUUGGUGGGGUUCUUUUCUAUUAACUUGUUAUAGUUUCUUUUUAUUUUUGUUUUCUUUAUGGGGUAUUCU